GCCAGCAUGGUAUAGCGGUUUGAGUGCUGAACUACGACUCUGGAAACCAGGGUUCGAUUCCCCAUUUGGCC